rnacentral:rRNA from 1 species
AUUGAACGCUGGCGGAAUGCUUUACACAUGCAAGUCGAACGGCAGCACGGGGCAACCUGGUGGCGAGUGGCGAACGGGUGAGUAAUACAUCGGAACGUGCCCAAUCGUGGGGGAUAACGUAGCGAAAGUUACGCUAAUACCGCAUACGAUCUACGGAUGAAAGCGGGGGAUCGCAAGACCUCGCGCGAAUGGAGCGGCCGAUGUCAGAUUAGGUAGUUGGUGGGGUAAAGGCUCACCAAGCCGACGAUCUGUAGCUGGUCUGAGAGGACGACCAGCCACACUGGGACUGAGACACGGCCCAGACUCCUACGGGAGGCAGCAGUGGGGAAUUUUGGACAAUGGGCGCAAGCCUGAUCCAGCCAUUCCGCGUGCAGGAUGAAGGCCUCGGUUGUAAGCACUUCGUACGGACGAAAUACGCGCGGCGAAUACCCCGCGUCGGAUGACGGUACCGUAACGAAGAAG